CCUACGGGUGGCAGCAGUGAGGAAUCUUCCUCAAUGGACGAGAGUCUGAUCCAGCCACGCCGCGUGAAGGAUGAAUGCCCUCUGAGUUGUAAACUUCUUUUAUAUAGGAGUAAAACGUUCCAAGUGUGGGAUUAUGUAUGUACCAUAUGAAUAAGGAUCGCCGAACUUCGUGCCAGCAGCCGAGGUAAUACGGAGGAUCCGAGCGUUAUCCGGAUUGAUUGGGUUUAAAGGGAGCGUAGGUGGAUUGUUCAGUCAGUUGUGAAAGUUUGCGGCUCAACCGGACAAUUGCAGUUGAAACUGGCAGUCUUGAGUACAGUAGAGGUGAGUGGAAUUCGAGGUGUAGCGGUGAAAUGCGUAGAUAUCACGAAGAACGCCGAUGGCGAAGGCAGUUCACUGGACUGCAACUGACACUGAGGCUCGAAAGUGUGGGUAUCAAACAGGAUUAGAUACCCGGGUAGUC
rnacentral:rRNA from 1 species